ACUACGAGUGAAAACUUAAAACUUAAAAGACUUGACGGUACUUCAAACUCAACCUAGAGGAGCCUGUCUACUAACCGAUAACCCACGAUUAAUCCAACCACUUCUGGCCAUCCAGCCUAUAUACCGCCGUCGCCAGCCCACCUUGUGAAAGAAACCAAGUGGACAAAACAGUACUACACUAGUACGACAGGUCGAGGUGUAGCUCAUGAAGUGGAACAAGAUGGGCUACAUUAUCUAACUUAGAUUAAACGGACAAAGCUAUGNNNNNNNNNNNNNAAAGGAGGAUUUAGCAGUAAGAUGAGAACAUAAUACUCAACUGAAAAUAUCGCAAUGAAGUGCGUACACACCGCCCGU
rnacentral:rRNA from 1 species